GACAGAGGCCUCAAGCGUUAGGCGGAAUCACUGGGCUUAAAGCGUGUGUAGGCGGAUCGUUAAGUGUCUUGUGAAAUCCCACGGCUCACCCGUGGAACGGCUGGGCAUACUGGCGAUCUUGGGCCAACUAGGGGCAACUGGAACAAGCGGUGGAGCGGUGAAAUGCGUAGAUAUCGCUUGGAACGCCAAAGGUGAAAACAGGUUGCUGGGGUUGUGCCGACG
rnacentral:rRNA from 1 species